rnacentral:rRNA from 1 species
AACGAACGCUGGCGGCAGGCUUAACACAUGCAAGUCGAGCGCCCCGCAAGGGGAGCGGCAGACGGGUGAGUAACGCGUGGGAAUCUACCUUUUGCUACGGAAUAACUCAGGGAAACUUGUGCUAAUACCGUAUGUGCCCUUCGGGGGAAAGAUUUAUCGGCAAAGGAUGAGCCCGCGUUGGAUUAGCUAGUUGGUGGGUAAAGGCCCACCAAGGCGACGAUCCAUAGCUGGUCUGAGAGGAUGAUCAGCCACACUGGGACUGAGACACGGCCCAGACUCCUACGGGAGCAGCAGUGGGGAAUAUUGGACAAUGGGCGCAAGCCUGAUCCAGCCAUGCCGCGUGAGUGAUGAAGGCCCUAGGGUUGUAAAGCUCUUUCACCGGUGAAGAUAAUGACGGUAACCGGAGAAGAAGCCCCGGCUAACUUCGUGCCAGCGCCGCGGUAA